rnacentral:sRNA from 1 species
GGGACAGGCCUUUCAGGCAUCCUCUCCCAAACUUUCCAAGGCCGGCGGAAACGCCGGCCUUUUUUUUGUAAUCA